CAGGUGCUCCUGGUAGGCUCAGGUGAUGGCAGGAAAAGGGCCUCGGCCAGUGAAGCACCGAGGAAUCGUUCAGGGCCCACUUGUGGAUUGUCAGGUUUACAUGGGAUAACCCACUGGCAGUCCCAGCACGGAAAAUGCACGAGAAGGAAGAAAGCAAAACUAAAGACUGGAAAAUGCACAAGCCAAAGAGGAAGCAGGAGCUCGAACAGGAGGCACUUCCCAUAACUGACAGAAGGAAACAAACUGAAAUGGGAGUGAAUACAUAGAAAGGAUUCCUAAAGACCUGAAAUACUUGGAACCAAGAUGCCACCCUGUGCUUCUCCAGCUUAAGGAGCUUUUGCAAAACCAACAUCGGAAAAACAAAAUAAGAUAAUAUGA